UGAACGCUGGCGGCAUGCUUUACACAUGCAAGUCGAACGGUAACAGGCCUUCGGGUGCUGACGAGUGGCGAACGGGUGAGUAAUGCAUCGGAACGUACCCAGAGGUUGGGGAUAACGCAGCGAAAGCUGUGCUAAUACCGCAUGUGAUCUGAGGAUGAAAGCGGGGGACCGAGCAGCAAUGUUUGGCCUCGCGCCUUUGGAGCGGCCGAUGUCGGAUUAGCUAGUUGGUGGGGUAAAGGCCUACCAAGGCGACGAUCCGUAGCUGGUCUGAGAGGACGACCAGCCACACUGGGACUGAGACACGGCCCAGACUCCUACGGGAGGCAGCAGUGGGGAAUUUUGGACAAUGGGCGCAAGCCUGAUCCAGCAAUGCCGCGUGCGGGAAGAAGGCCUUCGGGUUGUAAACCGCUUUUGGCAGGAACGAAACGGUGUCCGCUAAUACCGGGCGCUAAUGACGGUACCUGCAGAAUAAGCACCGGCUAACUACGUG
rnacentral:rRNA from 1 species